rnacentral:rRNA from 1 species
GUAGGGAAUAUUGGACAAUGGGGGGAACCCUGAUCCAGCCAUGCCGCGUGGAGGAAGACUGCCCUCUGGGUUGUAAACUCCUUUUAUAUGGGAAGAACCGUCCUCAUUAAUGAGUGACCUGACGGUACCAUAGGAAUAAGCACCGGCUAACUCCGUGCCAGCAGCCGCGGUAAUACGGAGGGUGCAAGCGUUAUCCGGAUUCACUGGGUUUAAAGGGUGCGUAGGUGGAUAAAUAAGUCAGUGGUGAAAUCAACAGGCUCAACCUGUUAACUGCCAUUGAUACUGUGUAUCUUGAAUAUGAGAGAGGUAGGCGGAAUGUUGCAUGUAGCGGUGAAAUGCUUAGAUAUGCUACGGAACACAGAUUGCGAAGGCAGCUUACUAUUUCGUAAUUGACGCUGAGGCACGAAAGCGUGGGUAGCGAACAGGAUUAGAAACCCGUGUAGUCC